rnacentral:misc_RNA from 1 species
GUGAAUCAUCAAAUUUUUGAACGCAAAUUGCACUCUCUUCGGAGAGUAUGCCUGUUUGAGGGUCAGCCUAAAAAAAAUCGACAUCGUUGCUGUUUCGCGGUGGCGUUCGUCGGAAAUUGGGUUAUCUUAAAUCUUUGGUUAAGCCGACUUAAAAUUUCUUUUACGAUUCCUUGAACGUUCCCAGGAUUAAUUUCUUUCAACUUUUA